CUAGUUCUUCGGAGUAUAAGUUCUUAGAUCUCGAGGCCUGGAGGACCCCAUGAUAAAUAUUUUCAAUGGGUGGGACCCGAGACUCGAACCCGGGUCCUCUAGAGUGGAAAGCCGAAGCAUUUUCACGCGGCCAAGUCGGCCGACUAUCCUGCGGAGGGAUUAGCCAGAUGGUGGAGGACGAGGACCGAUGGGCCGGGUCAGGACCCCAUAAUAAAUAUUUUCAAACGGUGGGACCCGAGACUCGAAUUCGGUCCUCCAGAGUGGAAAGCCGAAGCGUUUCCAUGCGGCCAAUCCGGCCGACUAUCCUGUGGAGGGAUUAGCCAGAUGGUUGAGGACGGCGAUCGGUGGACUGGGCCCGGACCCCAUGAUAAACAUUUUCAAGGGUGGGACCCGAGAUUCGAACCCGGGUCCUCCAGAGUGGAAAGCCGAAGCGUUU
rnacentral:lncRNA from 1 species